rnacentral:rRNA from 1 species
UGGUCAAGUUAUUAAGGGUGCAGGGCGGAUGCCUUGGCACUAGGAGCCGAUGAAGGACGUGAUAAGCUGCGAUAAGCUUCGGGGAGUUGCACGUAAACUUUGAUCCGAAGAUUUCCGAAUGAGGAAACUCACUUAGAGUAAUGUCUAAGUAUCAUUAAGAGAAUACAUAGCUUAAUGAGGGGAACUCAGGGAACUGAAACAUCUAAGUACCUGAAGGAAGAGAAAGAAAUUCGAUUCCGUAAGUAGCGGCGAGCGAACGCGGAUUAGCCCAAACCAAUAAAGUUUUCUUUAUUGGGGUUGCGGACAUAUCAUAACGAAGAGGUAUCGUAAUUGAAGAGGUUUGGAAAGACCCACCACAGAAGGUAAUAGUCCUGUAUGUUAAACGAGAAGACUUUAGAUAUGAUCCAGAGUACCACGGGACACGUGAAACCCGGUGGGAAGCAGGAGGGACCACCCUCCAAGGCUAAAUACUACCUAGUGACCGAUAGCGUAUAGUACCGUGAGGGAAAGGGGAAAAGAACCCCGGGAGGGGAGUGAAAUAGAACCUGAAACCCUGCACUUACAAGCUGUGGAAGCACAUUUCUUGUGUGACCGCGUACUUUUUGUAGAACGGGCCAACGAGUUACGUUAAGUAGCAAGGUUAAGCACUUAAGGUGCGGAGCCGUAGCGAAAGCGAGUUUUAACUGAGCGUUCAGUUACUUGACGUAGACCCGAAACCGGGCGACCUACCCAUGAGCAGGAUGAAGCGAAAGUAAAAUUUCGUGGAGGUCCGAACCCACGAGCG